UGGUGAACCAGCGGAGGGAUCAUUACUGAGUUUACGCUCUACAACCCUUUGUGAACAUACCUAUAACUGUUGCUUCGGCGGGCAGGGUCUCCGUGACCCUCCCGGCCUCCCGCCCCCGGGCGGGUCGGCGCCCGCCGGAGGAUAACCAAACUCUGAUUUAACGACGUUUCUUCUGAGUGGUACAAGCAAAUAAUCAAAACUUUUAACAACGGAUCUCUUGGUUCUGGCAUCGAUGAAGAACGCAGCGAAAUGCGAUAAGUAAUGUGAAUUGCAGAAUUCAGUGAAUCAUCGAAUCUUUGAACGCACAUUGCGCCCGCCAGCAUUCUGGCGGGCAUGCCUGUUCGAGCGUCAUUUCAACCCUCAAGCUCUGCUUGGUGUUGGGGCCCUACAGCCGAUGUAGGCCCUCAAAGGUAGUGGCGGACCCUCCCGGAGCCUCCUUUGCGUAGUAACUUUACGUCUCGCACUGGGAUCCGGAGGGACUCUUGCCGUAAAACCCCCAAUUCUCCAAAGGUUGACCUCGGAUCAGGUAGGAAUACCCGCUGAACUUAAGCA
rnacentral:rRNA from 1 species